CAUCCAGCUCUUCAAAACCCUCUUUUCUGUCAUCAAUAACAGCCAUAAUCAGAAGGUGCAGAUGCACAUGUUGGACCUGAUGAGCUCCAUCAUCAUGGAGGGAGAUGGAGUGACGCAAGAGCUGCUGGACACAAUCCUCAUCAACCUCAUCCCUGCUCACAAAAAUUUGAAUAAGCAGGCAUAUGACCUGGCCAAGACUCUUCUGAAGAGA